rnacentral:tRNA from 1 species
GUGGCUUAGUGGUUAAGAGUUUGGCUGCUAACCAAAAGGUCAUCGAGUGGUUCGAAUCCACC